CCUACGGGGGGCAGCAGUGAGGAAUAUUUGUCAAUGGACGAGAGUCUGAACCAGCCAAGUAGCGUGAAGGAUGACUGCCCUAUGGGUUGUAAACUUCUUUUAUAUGGGAAUAAAAUGUUCCAUGUGUGGGAUUUUGUAUGUACCAUAUGAAUAAGGAUCGGCUAACUCCGUGCCAGCAGCCGCGGUAAUACGGAGGAUCCGAGCGUUAUCCGGAUUUAUUGGGUUUAAAGGGAGCGUAGGUGGAUUGUUAAGUCAGUUGUGAAAGUUUGCGGCUCAACCGUAAAAUUGCAGUUGAAACUGGCAGUCUUGAGUACAGUAGAGGUGGGCGGAAUUCGUGGUGUAGCGGUGAAAUGCUUAGAUAUCACGAAGAACUCCGAUUGCGAAGGCAGUUCACUGGACUGCAACUGACACUGAGGCUCGAAAGUGUGGGUAUCAAACAGGAUUAGAUACCCCUGUAGUC
rnacentral:rRNA from 1 species